GACGAACGCUGGCGGCGUGCUUAACACAUGCAAGUCGAACGGAAAGGCCCAGCUUUCGUGGGGGGCUAGAGUGGAGAAGGUGUGUAUAACACGAGAGUAACCUCCCCUUCACUGGGGGAUAACUGCAAGAAACGGUGGCUAAUACCGGAUAAGCGCCCCUGGCGCGUGGGGGGGGGGGGAAAUUUUUGGGGGUUGGGGAUGCACUCGCGGCAUAUCAGCUUGUUGGUGGGGUAGUGGCUUACCAAGGCUUUGACGGGUAGCCGGCCUGAGAGGGUGACCGGCCACAUUGGGACUGAGAUACGGCCCAGACUCCUACGGGAGGCAGCAGUGGGGAAUAUUGCACAAUGGGCGGAAGCCUGAUGCAGCAACGCCGCGUGCGGGAUGACGGCCUUCGGGUUGUAAACCGCUUUCGCCAGUGACGAAGCGUGAGUGACGGUAAUGGCUAAAGAAGCACCGGCUAACUACGUG
rnacentral:rRNA from 1 species